CAUGGUCUUCGAUGAGUUCAGCUACAUUUGGGUUCAAAGUCUUCCCAUCUUGGCCAAUUAUGACAAGAUUAGGAAUGGUUCUAAGUUCAAAAUACCGCGCUAGCUUCUCGCAGCUCUUGUCCUUAAACGGCAAUGCCAACCAAGGCAUUGUCUCAAAACUCUCUUUGAAUUAGGACUACUUCAAGUUCUCUCCUUUUUCCUUGAGCCUCUUGUACAAUUCCACUAGUUUAGGAGUGAAUUCACGGCACAAUCCUAUGAGCAUGGAUUGAGAAAUACAAGCCAACCAAUUUUCCUUCAAGGUCCAACACAGGGAUCUGCCAUUACAGAUAGCAAAAAUGUAAAUUAUGGCAUCAUCAUUAAAAAUAGCAAAAAAGUGAAUGAUGGCAUCAUCAAUUCAAUUUCAAAACUAGCUAAUUGAAUGAGCCAUCUACCUUUUUUCCAUCAUUUGAAAUCACAUAAUCACGUGAGCUUGAAACCAAGAUAGAGCUUAUGGUUUGAUUCUUCUUAGCAUUCUCUUCUUGCUCUUUCAGGAAAUUCAGUCUAUCAAGGUUGAACGGAUACCCAUCCACGCCAUGUUCCUUGACAGUGCUGACUCCAUUAUCGCAGGAAACCUUGCCAUUCGUAUCAAAAAUGACAAGAUUAGGGAUCCCUCUUACUUUGAACACUUCCUUAAGACGUUUGCGGGUCUCCGUAUCAGAGAAGGGAAUAGCAAGCCAUGGCAUUUCGGAGAAGUAUGUGUUGAAGGAUUCAUCGUCUCUGUCAGAAGAAAUGAAGACCACCUCAAAGUCCCCUUUGGAUGAUAGCUGUUCAUAGACUUCUACCAACAACGGAGUGAAAUUACGGCACGGCCCGCACCACGAACCAGAGAAGUAGAAUCCCACAAUCUUCCCAACCAAAUUGCUGACCUUAACCUAAAAAUUAACGUGGAACAUUAUCAGAAAAAAGUUUCAGCCCUUAACGAAUCAAAAUCUUAUUUGUGGUUUCUUUCUCUUGCCAGUGAGAGAAGCAACAAAAAAAAGAGCUUUUUCUUAAUCAUAAAAGCUUCAGAAAUUGGUCAUAAAUUUGUUCUUCAGCAAGGCUUGCAGUCUAAUUUAAACAUGAUAUUCAUCUUAAUUACUAGAAAAACCUACAAGUUCAUAUAAAAAAAGACGUCAACUUAUAAUAAGACAAGAAGAAGUAGAAUUGAAUAAGAUCAGAGAAACUCAUAUGCUAAAAGCAGUACCUGAUCACCAUUGUUGCGGAUGAGAAAGUCCCUCUCUUCUGAAGAAAGAAGCUUUGAAAGGUCGAGAGAAACGUCUUCGGUGGCCAUAGCUAGCUAUGUGAUGAACUACUCAAAAGGCUAGAACAAUUGCCAAUCCCAGUUGCUGUGUAAUGGAACUUCCAGGCUAAGGCUCCUUUAAAGUACCUGCUCGCCCGGCCUAGGAAAUUAUUAUUCUAAUUGUCAACGACGACUACAAGGCUUGGCUGGUGUCGAGUGAUGACGAAGACAUUAUGACGUAGGUCCGCGGAAGCGGUAUUCGCAUUAUUACGUGCUUCUAUAAAUCUCCUAUUGCUUCAUUUUUUUUUUAACAUGUUUUUUUUAAUCUCCUUUUUUUGUUUGUAUUCUAGUUUUUUAAAAAUUAUGAGUUUGUUAUUAAAUAUAUUUUUUGUUUUUAUCUCUUUAAUAAAAUCUUUAUUAAAUGUGACUUGAUGAUAACAACAUGUAAUUUAAUAAAUUGGUUAAGAUCCAAACUUAAUAGAUUCCUUCUUAUCCUUCUGAUAAAGUUUUUUAAUAGUGAAACUCUCAACUCCUUUUGAUUUAAAAAAUAAUGAUGUUACGUGUAUUUAAUAAUUAUAAAUCAAAUUAUAUUAUGUAUUUGAGCCACGUCAUGACUCUAUUUCAAUAAAAAAAAUCCUUAUAUUUUUAGGAGAGAAAGAAAGAGUUUUUAAAUACAAUAUUUUAUCAUAAUUUUGACCUUUCCCUACUCAAAAGUGCACUAUACAUAUAUAUCAUUAUCUUUUAUCGAACACUCCAAAUGUAUUUAAAUUUGUCAAUUAAUUGUAAAUAAGGGAAGUUAAUGAAUUUCCACUCUAAAAUGUUCAAAUUCAUUGUUUGCUUUCAACUUUGUUCUAAUUAAAUCAGGUUAAGUAUAUGACUUUUUUCAUUAGUGGGUAUCCACUAGAUAUUCUAUUUGAUCUAUUUUUUUAAUUAAUUUUAUAAAAAUAAAACCUAAACUAAAAAAAUAAAAUAAUUCCUCCUUCAUGAAUCAUAAAACUAUGAAAUUAAAUUAAAUAAAAAAAUAAGAGAUGUUGUUAGUUUAGUGUUGUUGCAAAGUGGACAAAAACUCAAAAUAUCAAGGAUAAGAAUAAUAUUAUAGUUUUAUUUUUAAAAUUUUUUUUCAAUAUAAUCACUAAAUAUUUUUUUUAAUUUCAUCUUUGAUAUUUUAUUAAUCAAGAAUUUGGACUUAUUGGUUGGUUUUCUAUAAUCUUUUAUGUGGGGGAAAUUAAAUGUCUCUACAUUAGGGUCAUGUUUGAUUUUACAAAAUAAAAUCCUAUUUUAUUGCAUAUAAAAAUUUAAGACUUGGGGCCAAAAUUGACCGUUAGCAACAAUUUCAAGAUUCUUUAUUUGAGAAAUGUUCAUUUCUCCAUAUUUUACUUUAAAAAUUUUAUAUUUUAAUCCAAAACUCUAUUUUGAUCACAUUUCAGUCUCUAGCUUUAAACAAAAGAUAAAAAUUCAUUGAAAAUAAUGAAAGAGAGAGAAACACAUAGAGUGACAAAGUUUUGUUAGUAAAAAUAACUAAAAUUUGUGUCAAUGUGUUCUUCUUGAUAAGAAGAGUGCUACUAUGGUGUUUUUGACUUUUUAUAUAUAAAAAAAAAACAGAUCGAGAUUUGGAGAGUUUUUUUUUAAGGUUAAACUUUGUGUUUUAAAAUUAUUUUAGGGUUUUUUUAGUUGAUGGAUUAGUUUAUAGACAAUCUAAAAGUGUCUAUUAGAUAUUUUUAGAUAAAAAUAUAUUAAAAAAUAAAUUUUAAAAUAAAAAACAAUCCAAUUCUUCAUCCACCUUUCCAAUGAUAGGAAAAUUAAGCAAGUAAAAUGAUGUGUCAUUUACUUUAUUUAAAGAAAAAACAAUAAAGGAUAGAUGUUAUGUCAUCCAUCAAAGAAAACAUAAAAAUAUAAAAUGGCUCUUCCAUCUUUUGAAUAAUUGAGCCAUUUGGCCCCACAAACAUGGCUUGUUUUGGGCCAUUAUUUUUAAAUUUUUGGAUCUUUAUCCUUGAGUUUUAAUUUUAUUUCAUUAAAAUUAAUUAUUUAAGAACACAUUAAGGAUGUUAUUUUAAUAAAUACUUAAAUUAUUAAAAAUAUACAUGAGAUAUUAUUUUAUUAGAUACCAUUUAAUUUUUACUUUGUUUUUAAAUAAAAUUAUAAUAUUUUUUUUAUAAUAUUAGUAAGGGUUUUUUUGGCAUAACCCAUCAUGAUCUUUCUUAUCUUUGCACAUACGCUGUCAAAGACUAUAAUAAUAGAUUCCAUGAAAAAGAAACUGCGAGAACAUGAAACAUGCAUUUGAACAUGAAAAGGUAAAUAAGCUGAACAUAAUUAAUGGGCCAUAGAAGCGAAGGUUUUUUCAAUGGCUUCAAACUUCUUGGCAGCGUGCUUCAUUGUUGUCGCCGAAUUUCUUCGCAGUGUGCUUGCUUGAAACGUGGAUGUAUCACAUGGAUGAUAUUUUCGUUCUUUGGACAGGAGUGAUAAGCAUUUUCCUUUAGGAAUGACAAAAACCUCAUAACAAGUGAUUGAAAUUUGAGAACAACCAUCAACCAUGGAUUCCCAGGUUUCAAAUGGGUCACAGGAUUCACAUAAACACAGCCAAUCCGGUUAUUUAUGUUUGGUAUCGAAAUACAAGACAUGAAAAUCCUUCAGCAACACGCCUCUUAAUUAGAUAUCAAUAGCAGGAAAGACAUCCACUAUCUUCACACACAUGCCACAAACACCUUACAUCGCAAACUUAUUACGGCAGAAACCCCAUAAAACCAGAUACCAGGUGCGCUUGCCCGCUUAAGCUCUGCGGCACACAUCACCAUCGCAGAUCCUUCCUUCCUUUCCCUUUUCAGUUCCAGUAUCUUCAUCUUCCUUCAAAGCACACUUAGGGUGAAGAUCAAAGUCACAUUGUUUGCAAUAGAAAGACCAACCAUGUCCUGUUCCACGACAGCCAUUGCAAACAUAUGCUUUGCGUUUAGUACGAAUCAGCUCAUGCUCAGUAUGAAGUUCGUGUUUCACUUUCUCUGGCCACCCCUUUGCCUUUUCCUCAAGCUCCUCCUCCAAUUGCUUUAGAUGUUCCUCGGUAAAUGGAAAAGCAUCUGCCCCGUAAGCUGUCAAGUGCAUCCGAGCUUCCUUGGUAAUGGUCCGGCCACUUGGGCCAAUCGCUACAGCUGCAGGAAUGCCUUGAAUUUUGAAUUUCCGACUCAGGAUUUGUUUCCUUUCAUCACCAAAUGGAAGGGCUAACCAAGGCAUUUCUGAAUAGAACUCGUCAAAGGUGGAUUGAUCGCUGUCACUUGAGAUGAAGAUCACCUCAAAUGCAUUGUCUUUUGCUUUAAUUGUGUGGUAUGCUUCAAUUAGCUUGGGUAAAAAGGCACGACAAGGAGGGCACCAUUGAGCUGAGAAGUAAAGAAGAAUGUUCUUUCCAACUAGAUCAGACACUCGGACCUAAUCAAAGAGCAAACCAUUUGAAUGAUAAAAAUACCUUUGCUAAUGAAUUCAAUUCGAGAUAAUAAGCAAGUUAUUGAAAGUAAUGCAAUAACAACAUGCGAUGUUAGCACAGAACAAAAAAUUACCUUGGAUCCACUUUUGUCAAUCACAAAAUCAUUUUCCCCAUUAACCAAAACUGACUCAAGCGUCUGCGAUUCCAGUUUUGCCUUUUCAAUUUCAGCUAGCUCCUCAAGCUUUUCCGGUGUAAAUGGGUAGGCUUCAAUUCCAUGGUCUUCGAUGAGUUCAGCUACAUUUGGGUUCAAAGUCUUCCCAUCUUGGCCAAUUAUGACAAGAUUAGGAAUGGUUCUAAGUUCAAAAUACCGCGCUAGCUUCUCGCAGCUCUUGUCCUUAAACGGCAAUGCAAACCAAGGCAUUGUCUCAAAACUCUCUUUGAAGUGUUUUUCCUCAGAGUCUAGAGAUAUUAGGACUACUUCAAAGUUCUCUCCUUUUUCCUUGAGCCUCUUGUACAAUUCCACUAGUUUAGGAGUGAAUUCACGGCACAUCCUAUGAGCAUGGAU
rnacentral:lncRNA from 1 species